UGCUAUGGCCAUGCCACCCUGAACGUGCCCGAUCUUGUCUGAUCUCAGAAGCUAAGCAGGAUCGAGCUUGGUUAGUACUUGGAUGGGAGGCCAUCUAGGAAGACCAGGUGCUGUAGGCA
rnacentral:rRNA from 1 species